CACGUAGUUAGUCGAGACUUAUUCGUCGAGUACCGUCCUUGCUCGUCCUCGACAAAAGUAGUUUACAACCCGAAAGCCUUCAUCCUACACGCGGCGUUGCUGCAUCAGGCUUGCGCCCAUUGUGCAAUAUUCCUUA
rnacentral:rRNA from 1 species